rnacentral:lncRNA from 1 species
AUCUUUCAAUUAAUGUAAAAAAUUUGAACAUGUCUAAUGGGGAAAGAGUGGACAGGAACUGUAUGAAGUGGGAGCAAGGAGAAUUGGAGUGCUGAGUUUACCGCCAAUAGGGUGUGUGCCAUCACAGAGAACUCUAGGCGGAGGCAUAGAUAGACAGUGUUCGAAGUCCGCCAAUGAAGCAGCAAGCCUCUUCAAUUCCAAGCUCUCCUCAGCAAUUCAUGCCCUCAAUAAACAGCUUCCAAAUUCAACGCUUGUGUACCUUGACACCUACAAUCCCCUGCUCUCUCUAAUCCAAAACCCUGCUCAAUAUGGUAAUUUAUCACCAAUCACACUAUUUUUUUCUAGUAAAAAAAAACAAAACAUUAUACAUGUGAUUUAAGCAUAUCAGCUGGAUGAUAAUGGCAAUUUGGGUGUGCAAAACAGGGUUUGAAGUGGCAAAUAAAGGAUGCUGUGGCACAGGAAACAUAGAGGUGAGCAUACUGUGUAAUGGAUUGGAUGAUCCACAUACGUGUAAAGAUGCCUCCAAGUACAUAUUCUGGGAUAGUUAUCAUCCCUCCGAGAGAGCUUACAAAAUCCUUACCUCUCAGAUCCUCAACAAGGAUCUGGACAAAUUGUUCUGACCAUAUAAGUUUACGCUCUUUAUUUAUAUUUAUGGACCAAUAAAGUUGUCUAAAUUGUCGACACCAAACUAGGCCAUGCAGCUCCUCAAUGUUAAUUGUAUGCUUUUCAUGUUGCCAUUUAAUAAGUAGCGACAACUCAAAAAUCUCUUAU